rnacentral:pre_miRNA from 1 species
UUCUGCUCUCCGCGAGAUAUGUUUGAUUUUCUUGGUCGUUUAUAAAUGAUCGACCAGGAAUCGAACAUAUUAUUGCGGCGGCCAGAG